AGCUGGGGGUGCCGCCAGUGAGCGGCUGAGAGGAAUGAGAUUCCAACCCUUUGAACUUGAUGUGGUUAGUACCAUCGGAGGGAAGCAA
rnacentral:ncRNA from 1 species